CUUCCACUUGUGCAGGGCUCAGCAUCCCUGAGGCCUCAACUCCUUAUCCAUCCUGGGGUGCUGUCGCAGUAAACCCUCUCCUCAGGGUCCUGGCCUUCUACCUCCAGGCCCU
ensembl:misc_RNA